UCACCCAGAUAGUGACUCCAGAGGAAGAAUCCUGUUCAGCCUGCUGUCCCCAGGGCAAUCAAUAUCCGCCAGGUGUCCAGCAUGCAAUACAGCCAACUUUCAUAAUUUCCUGCAUCCAUCUUUGAUAAUAACAGAAGAAGAACACCAUCUGGUCUGCUGCACUUGGGGCAAUUUAUACCAACCAGGUGUCCAGUAUUGAAUGUGCAAGAACUAUAAUUCACCUUAGAACAGUGGUCCCAUUAAUCCACCUCUGAUUCAUGUGGCUUCAAGAAUGCCAGUGCAUUAUGAGCAUUCAUAUACAACACACCACACCAAUUGUUAUUGAUAUGACUUUCUUGAAUAUAUAGACAAGGGAAGAUCAAUGGGAUGCUCUUGUUUCUGCAUGAAACCACUGGAUUGCUUCUCCAAAGUCAAGUGACCUAUGAUGAUAUGGAAGAACAUUCUUGGGCUUGCUGUGACUGGAGAGAUUGAUACAACCCAGGUAUCCUGUAAUAAAUAUGCCCUAACUCCAAUUCACCUUAGCACCAGAGUUCCAGGAAGCCUUCAUUGGUAAAGAUUACUGAGGAAGAGGAAUUUUUUUGGCCAGCUGCCUCUGACUCAACUUUUACCACCCAGGCAUCCUACACUCAAUCUGCCGAACUAUAGUCUACUUUUUAACCAGGAUUAAAGGUUUCCUUCCUGACAUCAUAUUGAAGGAUUUUUGUUUUUUAAGCAUUCUGGCACUCUACGACAUUUGAUUGGAGAAUAUAAUCCAUUUGCACUUGAAGUAAUUAUUGAUAGGAAGAUUAGCCAUGAGCUAACAUCUGCUGACAAUCUUCUUCUUUUUGCUGAGGAAGACUGGCCCUGAGCUAACAUCCAUGCCCAUCUUCCUCUGCUUUAUAUGUGGGAUGCCUGCCACAGCAUGGCUUGACAAGUGGUGUAUAGGUCUGCACCCAGGAUCUAAACUGGCAAACCCCAAGCGGCCAAAGUGGAAUGUGUGAACUGAACUGCUGCACCACCAGGCCAGCCCUGGUCAAAAGCUAGAACAAGUUACUCUCCUUUCAAGUGAACAAGUUACUUUCAGGAAAGAAAGAAAGCUGGAAUCAGGUCUUCCACUUCAGAAAACAGGGGUGAGUAACUAUACCAAAAUCCUUUGAAAUUCAUAUGUCAUGUGCUCCAUGCCAGGUCCUGAGGUCUCUGUGUUCAUCUUUUCAGAGACAUUUGAGAACAUUUUUAAUGAUGUAUCCUUUUCCUCAUUGAGACCCUCACCAAGAUUACCUAC
rnacentral:lncRNA from 1 species